CAGAGGAGGAUCUUGUUACUAAAAAGACUGUAAAGAGGAUGAUUCUAAAUAUAAAGCCAAAAGAUAUUGGAACAAUUGUUACUAGUUCUCCUGGUGAGGAUCCAAAGAUGUUAGCCAAUUUUAGAGAUCUUCUAGAUAAAAUUUUUGUAUUGGAUCCAGAGAAGAGGAUGACAGUUCAUCAAGCACAGCUUCAUCCAUUCAUCACGGGCAAGUGAACAAUGUUGCUGAUUUUCUGACACCAGAAUUGCUGUUGCGCUAGAUAUUAAUACAUUAUGACUUCAUAUUCAGUUAUCUAAUCAUUGGGCAUUAUGUCUUUGUCCUCUAUUUUCCUAUGAGCUUUGGACAGUUAUAGCCGUCGUUGAAUACAGAAGUGGUGAUGUUUGGUCAGGAGUAC
rnacentral:misc_RNA from 1 species